rnacentral:rRNA from 1 species
GUAUAAGAGACAGCAGUCGCCGCGGUAAUACAGAGGGUGCGAGCGUUAAUCGGAUUUACUGGGCGUAAAGCGUGCGUAGGCGGCUUCUUAAGUCGGAUGUGAAAUCCCUGAGCUUAACUUAGGAAUUGCAUUCGAUACUGGGAAGCUAGAGUAUGGGAGAGGAUGGUAGAAUUCCAGGUGUAGCGGUGAAAUGCGUAGAGAUCUGGAGGAAUACCGAUGGCGAAGGCAGCCAUCUGGCGUAAUACUGACGCUGAGGUACGAAAGCAUGGGGAGCAAACAGGAUUAGAUACCCCUGUAGUCCCUGUCUCUUAUAC